UGGAAAUCACAUGCUGUCAUUUCUGCGAUCGGACAUAACCAGUCCUGAUUCCAUGUUAGAGGAGACUACAUAAGGACACAGGUACCAGAAGAUGAAAAAUUUGGAAUCUAGUGAAGAGAAGUGACUUGUUCAAAGUCACACAGCACACGAAGAACAGAGCCUCUAUGAUGAAUUUCUUGACAGGAUCGCAUGGAGGAUGCCACAUUACGUUUCACUGCCAUGUCUCCGUAGACUCCUCUUGGUUGUGCUGGUUUCUCACGCUUUUCUUGGUUUUGAAGACAUUGACAAUUUUCUUCCAUUGGGAUUUGCUUGAUGCUUUUCUCAUGAUUACACUGGAAUUGUGACUUUUUAGAAGGAAGAUCAUACAGGCACAGCAGAUGGAGGACUCAAUGCUUAUGCUGGAGAAGGAAGCUACAUUGUCCCUUAGUUCAUGGAAAUGUCAAGUCUAGAAGAUGGAAGAGUUCAGUUAAUAUCUCCAGAGACCCACAACAGGGUCUCCCUCUGUCAUCCAGGCUGGAGAGCAGUGGUGUGAUGACAACUCACUGCAGCUUCAACUUCCUGAGCUCAAGCAGUCCUUUCACCUCAGCCUCUGGAAUAGCUGGAACUACAGGUUCGCUGUAAGGAUCACCAUCACUGGAGAAAUAGAAACGUCAGCAAGAAGGGUACAAGUGGGGUUUGGAAGUGACAAGAGACGUUGGCUAUGACUCAUUCAUGGGCCUGCACCUGUAUAACUUCUCCUCUUCCUCGCUGCGUUA